rnacentral:misc_RNA from 1 species
UGGCAAAGCCCAGGUGAUGCCAAUGAAGAAUUUGUCAGAUGGGCAGAGGAGCAGAGUGAUUUUUGCUUGGUUAGCUUAUAGGCAGCCCCACUUGCUGCUGUUGGAUGAGCCAACAAAUCAUUUGGAUAUUGAGACUAUCGACUCUCUGGCCGAGGCAUUAAAUGAAUGGGAUGGUGGUCUGGUUCUCGUUAGCCAUGAUUUCAGGCUUAUAAACCAGGUGGCAGAGGAGAUAUGGGUGUGUGAAAAUCAAGCUGUCACGCGAUGGGAGGGCGAUAUCAUGGACUUCAAGGAGCACCUCAAGAAGAAGGCCGGCUUAUCUGAUUGAGUCAGAUGAUAUGAUGGAUGUGAUGAUUAUUAUCCUAUUAUCAGCGUACCUUUAUCUAUGGUUGAGAAUCACAGCACACGGCUACUUACACUUGUGAAUCACAACACAGGCAGGUGAUUCCUGUGGCUGGAAGAUGCUUACCUAGGGUUGAAUUAUAAUGAAAGCCAAGAGCAGAGAUGGGUGACAGAGGCUUCGUUAUUGUUUUGAGCUGAAAAGCACACUGUACUCUGCUCAUUUACUAGGUGAUUAUUUUUGUUUUCAUUAUUCUUAUUUAGUAUACUUGGUUAUGCACCAAGGAGAUUGAUCAACAAAAUUUGCGGAGGUUUAGUUCAUUACUAAUAUGAACCUCAUUAUAGCUAUUAUGAAUGUCCCUGGAUAUGUUGUAUUUGACAACUUAGUCAUGACCUAAAUCUGAUCUAUUACGUUUGCGACUGAUCUCAUAAGCCCCUCUGCUUUGAUUUUUUUGUGCCCAAUUUGUUGGCUGGACACGUCAUUGAAU